CCCUUAGAUGUUCUGGGCCGCACGCGCGCUACACUGAUGCAUUCAACGAGCCUAUCCCUGACCGACAGGUCCGGGUAAUCUUUGAAUCUGCAUCGUGACGGGGAUAGAUUAUUGCAAUUAUUAAUCUUCAACGAGGAAUGCCUAGUAGGCGCAAGUCAUCAGCUUGCGUCGAUUACGUCCCUGCCCUUUGUACACACCGCCCGUCGCUCCUACCGAUUGGGUGUGCUGGUGAAAUGUUCGGAUCGGCCGUUUGUCGCGGUUUCCGCGUCAUGUGGCUGGGAAGUUCAUUAAACCCUCCCACCUAGAGGAAGGAGAAGUCGUAACA
rnacentral:rRNA from 1 species